rnacentral:sRNA from 1 species
UGGUUAGUUUUAUGCAGUCAAGUAUGAGUAGAUAUCAUAUGUAUUGAGCAUAAGAACUAGAACCACAACCGGAUUUUAGAAGCCUAGUUGUGUUUCCUUGUUUAAAGAUACAAAGCCAAAGAUUCAUACGGACUUCGGCUACACCAUCACAGCUU